UUCCAAAGGAUGGGGGUGGUUUGUAACUCUCUCUGGCUACAGUGCAUAGGUGGAUAAAGUGGCUAGCUAGGGAAGUCAGUAUCUGCAGUAAACAGCUGUACCUCUAAAAGAAAGAACUGAUUCACUCCCAAGGUUCUCUUCCAAGAUGCAUCACAAUCUGUUACAUUCAGGGCAAAGAGGAAGAAGAGAAGCAGGCGCUUGACUAAGAACUGACUGCUCAGUAGUAUAUGUCUAUCAAGGAAGGCGUAUAUAUA